rnacentral:rRNA from 1 species
GUAGGGAAUAUUGGGCAAUGGGCGAGAGCCUGACCCAGCCAUGCCGCGUGCCGGAUGAAGGCCUUCUGGGUUGUAAACGGCUUUUCUCAGGGAAGAAAAAGACCUUGCGAGGUACACUGACGGUACCUGAGGAAUAAGCACCGGCUAACUCCGUGCCAGCAGCCGCGGUAAUACGGAGGGUGCAAGCGUUGUCCGGAUUUAUUGGGUUUAAAGGGUGCGUAGGCGGCUUGUUAAGUCCGGGGUGAAAGCCCACUGCUCAACAGUGGAACUGCCCUGGAUACUGGCAAGCUUGAGUCCAGACGAGGUUGGCGGAAUGGAUGGUGUAGCGGUGAAAUGCAUAGAUACCAUCCAGAACCCCGAUUGCGAAGGCAGCUGACUAGGCUGGUACUGACGCUGAGGCACGAAAGCGUGGGGAGCGAACAGGAUUAGAAACCCCGGUAGUCC